GAGUUUGAUUCAUGGCUCAGGACGAACGCUGGCGGCGUGCUUAACACAUGCAAGUCGAGCGGAAAGGCCCUUCGGGGUACUCGAGCGGCGAACGGGUGAGUAACACGUGAGUAAUCUGCCCCAGGCUCUGGGAUAGCCACCGGAAACGGUGAUUAAUACCGGAUACGACAACCGAUUGCAUGAUCUGGUUGUGGAAAGUUUUUCGGCCUGGGAUGUGCUCGCGGCCUAUCAGCUUGUUGGUGAGGUAAUGGCUCACCAAGGCUUCGACGGGUAGCCGGCCUGAGAGGGUGACCGGCCACACUGGGACUGAGACACGGCCCAGACUCCUACGGGAGGCAGCAGUGGGGAAUAUUGGACAAUGGGCGGAAGCCUGAUCCAGCAACGCCGCGUGAGGGAUGACGGCCUUCGGGUUGUAAACCUCUUUCAGCACAGACGAAGCGCAAGUGACGGUAUGUGCAGAAGAAGGACCGGCCAACUACGUGCCAGCAGCCGCGGUAAUACGUAGGGUCCGAGCGUUGUCCGGAAUUAUUGGGCGUAAAGGGCUCGUAGGCGGUCUGUCGCGUCGGGAGUGAAAACCAGGUGCUUAACACCUGGCCUGCUUUCGAUACGGGCAGACUAGAGGUACUCAGGGGAGAAUGGAAUUCCUGGUGUAGCGGUGAAAUGCGCAGAUAUCAGGAGGAACACCGGUGGCGAAGGCGGUUCUCUGGGAGUAUCCUGACGCUGAGGAGCGAAAGUGUGGGGAGCGAACAGGAUUAGAUACCCUGGUAGUCCACACCGUAAACGUUGGGCGCUAGGUGUGGGACACAUUCCACGUGUUCCGUGCCGCAGCUAACGCAUUAAGCGCC
rnacentral:rRNA from 1 species